AGAGUUUGAUCCUGGCUCAGAACGAACGUUGGCGGCGUGGAUUAGACAUGCAAGUCGAACGGACAUAAUAAUUUCGAUUGUUAUGUUAGUGGCGAACGGGUGAGUAACGCGUGAAUAACCUGCCCUUAAGUGGGGGACAACACUUCUAACGAGGUGCUAAUACCGCAUGUGGUGCACAAUUGCAUGAUUGAGCUACUAAAGGCGGCCUCUACUUGUAAGCUGCCGCUUAAGGAGGGAUUCGCGUCCUAUUAGCUUGUUGGUGAGGUAAUGGCUCACCAAGGCGACGAUGGGUAGCCGGUCUGAGAGGAUGUCCGGCCACACUGGGACUGAGAUACGGCCCAGACUCCUACGGGAGGCAGCAGUCUAGAAGCUUAGUCUAAUGCGCGAAAGCGUGAACUAGCGACGCCGCGUGAGCGAUGAAGCCCUUCGGGGUGUAAAGCUCUGUUGUAUGGGACGAAACAACCAUUCGUGAAUAGCGGGUGGUCUUGACGGUACCAUACCAGAAAGUCACGGCUAACUCCGUGCCAGCAGCCGCGGUAAUACGGAGGUGGCGAACGUUGUUCGGAUUAACUGGGUGUAAAGGGUGUGUAGGCGGGCUUUCAAGUCAGGUGUGAAAUCCUACGGCUCAACCGUAGGCCUGCAUUUGAAACUGUAAGUCUUGAGUUUAGGAGAGGGAGGUGGAAUUCUUGGUGUAGCGGUGGAAUGCGUAGAUAUCAAGAAGAACACCGGUGGCGAAGGCGACCUUCUGGCCUAAAACUGACGCUGAGGCACGAAAGCAUGGGGAGCGAACAGGAUUAGAUACCCUGGUAGUCCAUGCUGUAAACGAUGGGUACUAGGUGUUGGAAGUACUGACCCUUCCAGUGCCGUAGCUAACGCAUUAAGUACCCCACCUGGGGAGUACGGUCGCAAGGCUGAAACUCAAAGGAAUUGACGGGGCCCCGCACAAGCGGUGGAGCAUGUGGUUUAAUUCGAUGCAACGCGAAGAACCUUACCAGGACUUGACAUAUAUCUGAAUGUUAUAGAAAUAUGGCAGCCCUUCGGGGCAGAUAUACAGGUGUUGCAUGGCUGUCGUCAGCUCGUGUCGUGAGAUGUUGGGUUAAGUCCCGUAACGAGCGCAACCCUUGUCCUUAGUUGCCAGCAGGUUAAGCUGGGCACUCUAAGGAGACUGCCGAGGUAGAAACUUGGAGGAAGGUGGGGAUGACGUCAAGUCAUCACGGCCCUUACGUCCUGGGCUACACACGUGCUACAAUGACCAAUACAAAGGGUCGCGAUACCGCGAGGUGGAGCUAAUCCCAAAAAGUUGGUCUCAGUUCGGAUUGGAGUCUGCAACUCGACUUCAUGAAGGUGGAAUCGCUAGUAAUCGCUGAUCAGCAGGCAGCGGUGAAUACGUUCCCGGGGCUUGUACACACCGCCCGUCAAGCGAUGAAAGCCGGGAGUACCCGAAGCCGUUUGUCUAACCGUAAGGAGGACGGCGUCUAAGGUAAGACUGGUGAUUGGCGCUAAGUCGUAACAAGGUA
rnacentral:rRNA from 1 species